rnacentral:tRNA from 1 species
GGUUGUAUAGUGUAGUGGUCAUCACCGCGGUUUCUGAUACCGCUAACCCCGGUUCGAAUCCGGGUACGACCU